AUGUGGGGGAGACACCCAGAGCCCAAGUGCCUGAGACAGGACCCCAGUGGCUCCACCAUGGACUUGGUGCCAAGCUGCGUUUUCCUCCUGAUCAUUUCUCAAGGUGUCCAGUGUGAGGAGCAGCUGAUGGAGUCUGGGGGAGGCCUGGUGCAGCCUGGGGGGUCUCUGAGACUCUCCUGUGCAGCCUCUGGAUUCACCUUCAGUAGCUACGACAUGAACUGCGUCUGCCAGGCUCCAGGGAAGGGGCUGCAGUGGGUUUCUGCUAUUAGUAGCGGCGGUGGUAGCACAUCCUACGCUGACUCUGUGAAGGGCCGCUUCACCAUCUCCAGAGACAACGCCAAGAACUCGCUGUCUCUGCGAAUGAGCAGCCUGAGAGCCGGGGACUCUGCCUUGUAUUACUGUGUGAGAGACACAAAGAUCCCUUUGUGGGCAGUUAGCUGCUUGCCUCUCACUGACAUGGCUGCACAUGGAGAUGUAGGGUCGGACCCUGUGGCACUGCCCCUCAGAGAUCCUGGAAGUACCUACAUCUCCCUGAGCCCCAGAGGGAGCCUGGAAGCCCUGCUGGGUGCUGCUCCUCAUGGGUCUCAGAACCUGGUCCCAGGGGACGUGUUCCAACACCAGUCCCGCUUCCCCUGGGGAACCACCUGCAUCCUGAGAACCUGCUGA